rnacentral:rRNA from 1 species
GACGAACGCUGGCGGCGUGCCUAAUACAUGCAAGUAGAACGCUGGAGGAGGAGCUUGCUUCUCUGGAUGAGUUGCGAACGGGUGAGUAACGCGUAGGUAACCUGCCUGGUAGCGGGGGAUAACUAUUGGAAACGAUAGCUAAUACCGCAUAAUAGUAGAUGUUGCAUGACAUUUGCUUAAAAGGUGCAAUUGCAUCACUACCAGAUGGACCUGCGUUGUAUUAGCUAGUUGGUGAGGUAACGGCUCACCAAGGCAACGAUACAUAGCCGACCUGAGAGGGUGAUCGGCCACACUGGGACUGAGACACGGCCCAGACUCCUACGGGAGGCAGCAGUAGGGAAUCUUCGGCAAUGGACGGAAGUCUGACCGAGCAACGCCGCGUGAGUGAAGAAGGUUUUCGGAUCGUAAAGCUCUGUUGUAAGAGAAGAACGAGUGUGAGAGUGGAAAGUUCACACUGUGACGGUAUCUUACCAGAAAGGGACGGCUAACUACGUG